rnacentral:antisense_RNA from 1 species
GCCCGCAGCCCCGCGGCCCGGAACCCGGAGCCCAGAGGCCUUCGCAGCCCCCAGAGAGAGGCUGGGCGGCCGAAACCCGAGGGCCACCACUCCUCGUGGCUGUCCCUGGCCGGGGGUCGGGGCGUCUGGACUCCUCAGUAGGCUGUGAAGCAGGAUGGGGCCUGAUUGAGCUCAACCCCCCUAUCACCCGCCUCAAUGCAGAGCAACACUCACCCAUCGCUCGGCGCUGGCUGGAAAGAGAACCGCAAAGAUUCACGGCUGGGAGCCAGUGAACCUGAGGGAGGCCAUGGAGGAGACGAGGACUUCCCUCUCCUGCUGACCCAAAGGCCCAUCUUCCGAAUUCUGGAACCCCCUUUUCAUCAGGCGCUGCCCAUGUCGAUCAUCUUGAUGACAUCAUCAGCAGAGUUAACCAGAUGCUCCUGCAGCCCCACCACUUGCACCUGUUGCUUGCCGUCCUCCAGCACGCGCAGCUUGGCCUUCUUGUUGAGCAGGUCAAACAGCUGUGCCAGGCAGGGGGAAUGAGGCUAAGGCCACUGGGCACCCGGCACCCCACCCGACUGCUCCCUCCUACUAGCCUGCCCA